rnacentral:rRNA from 1 species
UACGUAGGGUGCAAGCGUUGUCCGGAAUUAUUGGGCGUAAAGAGCUCGUAGGCGGUCUGUCGCGUCGGAUGUGAAAAUCCAGGGCUCAACCCUGGACCUGCAUUCGAUACGGGCAGACUAGAGUUCGGUAGGGGAGACUGGAAUUCCUGGUGUAGCGGUGAAAUGCGCAGAUAUCAGGAGGAACACCUAUUGCGAAGGCAGCUCGCUGGGACGUAACUGACGCUGAGACGCGAAAGCGUGGGGAGCAAACAGG